AUUGAACGCUGGCGGCAUGCUUUACACAUGCAAGUCGAACGGCAGCACGGACUUCGGUCUGGUGGCGAGUGGCGAACGGGUGAGUAAUACAUCGGAACGUGCCCAGUUGUGGGGGAUAACUACUCGAAAGAGUAGCUAAUACCGCAUGAGAACUGAGGUUGAAAGCAGGGGAUCGCAAGACCUUGCGCAACUGGAGCGGCCGAUGGCAGAUUAGGUAGUUGGUGGGGUAAAAGCUUACCAAGCCGACGAUCUGUAGCUGGUCUGAGAGGACGACCAGCCACACUGGGACUGAGACACGGCCCAGACUCCUACGGGAGGCAGCAGUGGGGAAUUUUGGACAAUGGGCGAAAGCCUGAUCCAGCAAUGCCGCGUGCAGGAUGAAGGCCUUCGGGUUGUAAACUGCUUUUGUACGGAACGAAAAGCUUCGGGUUAAUACCCUGGAGUCAUGACGGUACCGUAAGAAUAAGCACCGGCUAACUACGUG
rnacentral:rRNA from 1 species